rnacentral:rRNA from 1 species
AUGAUGGCUUCAUCCCUCGUGUCUGACACGUGCCUCCGGUCCUUCCUCUUGGCCGACUCUCUUGCCCGUUGUUCGGGCGUCGGCGCCUUCUUCGGCUUGGGCGUGGCGGUCUUGCGGGGGGCGCGAGGCUUGGCUUUGCCGGAGGGGACGGUCGGCAUGCCGGACGAGGCGAGGGAGGCGAGGCCGACGGCGGCGGCGUGGUCAUCGUCCAUGGCACCACAGGAGGAGGCCGGCCAUGGCGACACCGGAUCUGGCAUCUCCGGGGUCCUCUACAAGUGGGUCAACUACGGCCGCGGGUGGCGGCCCCGCUGGUUCGCGCUCAGCGACGGCGUGCUCUCCUACUACAAGAUCCACGGGCCCGACCGCAUCGACCUCUCCCGCGACACCGACCGCGGCGCCAAGGUCAUCGGCGAGGACUCGCUCCGCCGCCUCGCGCGCCCCUCCUUCGCCUCCGCCCCCCACUCCAACGGCCACGGCCACCACCAGACGCCCCGCAAGCCCCUCGGCGAAAUCCACCUCAAGGUGUCGACCGUCAGAGAGAGAAGAUCGGACGACAGGAGGUUCUCCAUCUUCUCGGGGACCAAGAGGCUGCACCUGCGGGCCGAGACGAGGGAGGACAGGGCCGCGUGGCUCGAGGCGCUCCGUGCCACCAAGGAGAUGUUCCCGAGGAUGUCCACCAGCGAGAUGGUCGGGUCGGGGGACACUGCGGCGGCCGCGGCGGUCUCCACCGAGCGCCUGAAGAAGCGCCUGCAGCAGGAAGGGGUCAGCGAUGCUGCCAUUGCUGACAGCGAGAGGAUCGUGCGGGAGGAGUUCGAAGCGCUGCACAAGCAGCUUGUGCUUCUCAAGCAGAAGCAGGCGCUAUCCUUGACACGCUCCGCCACCUAGAGACAGAAAAGGUCGAUUUGGAGAAUACCCUCGUUGAUGAGAGCCAAAGACAGUCGAAAGAGUAUGGAUCUGCUUCCAGACCAAGGAAUGAGAAGCUUAGUGGGAUAAAGUGAAGAAAAAGAAGAAAAGAUUACUAGAAGAUUAGCUUUAGUUUUUUUUUAUUUCCUUGCAAUUUUCCUUUUAUUGGAAACUUGUAAAGACAUUGUAAUAUUCUUACUAUAAUAAAAAUUGGAGACUAAUAUGAUGAAUUGUAUUCGGAGACUAAUAUGAUGAAUUGUAUUCAAAGACUAAUCUUCUGUUGUAUUCGAUGAAUUUGUUGUUGAUGUGUGC